CUAUAACAUCAACGUUCGGGCCGUCUCGGACCUACAGGAUGGCUUGCAGCUGCUCAAGCUGUUGUCAACCGUUAACCCAAGUGCCAGCAUUGAUAACUUCAACCCUGGAAAGACAUUUUCAAGUAUAAAGAAGCAGCUGUGUGGGCACCAUGCCUGUCUACGAGCCCGCUUCCUAUUUUUGGGUGUUGCAAACAAGAGCAAAUGCAAUGUUCACUUCGCUAUCACUACCAUCCUGGCGCUGUCGGUUCUGGCGCUUCAAGCCACAAGUUGUAGCCCGACCAUUG
rnacentral:lncRNA from 1 species